UACGAAGGGGGCUAGCGUUGCUCGGAAUUACUGGGCGUAAAGGGCGCGUAGGCGGCCUUCUAAGUCGAACGUGAAAUCCCCGGGCUCAACCCGGGAACUGCGUCCGAUACUGGAAGGCUUGAAUCCGGGAGAGGGAUGCGGAAUUCCAGGUGUAGCGGUGAAAUGCGUAGAUAUCGGAAGGAACAUCGAUGGCGAAGGCAGCUUUCUGGACAAAUACUGACACUGAGGCACGAAAGCGUGGGGAGCAAACAGG
rnacentral:rRNA from 1 species